GUUAUUUCUUACUUUUCGUUCACGUACUUGUUCGCGUCUUGCUGUGCUGCCUAAAGUAGCAAUUAUAAUUUUCCACCAACUACUAUGCUUUCCCCACGCGUCAUUGCUAUGACGGCAUGCUUUCAUUACAAAGCAUUCUUAGUUCUUCGCAUAGGCCCUAUCUAUGUAAGUAUAAUUUCAUCAGUGAACAACUUUUAUUAAGUUGCAGAGAAAACAUGUCAUUACAUGUUGUUUUGUUUUAUUAAAACUCCUCUUUUAGAAAUGACCAUGGUUCCCCUGUGUGGAACUGCCAUAUCUAUACAUGCAUCGGUGGCUCGGUGCCUUUAGGCUGUCUCUAGCAGCUUACCCAUCGUAUCUCUUAUCCCAUCUCCUAUUUCAAACUCCACUCUUAGACUGUCUCCAGCAGAUCGCACAUAUGGUAAGCGAUGUGACGUGAGAAAUUGGAUAGGUAUAAGAUUCAGUCAUGCCUGUAGGUAUGAUCUUAAGAGACUACAUGCAUGUUCACAAGGAAAUUAGCUUCUUGAAGUCACUCUGACUUAUUACCAAUUCAAAUUGGACGCUCUUAUUUUACUCAAUGAAUUACUGAUAUGAUACAUUCAAUUUUAGUUGCCACUCCCAUAAUUUAGGUAGUUGAUGAUGCACAAUGACAGCUAGGAAAGUUUUCCAGCAAAUUUGAUCAGGGCUUUGACUCAGCCCUUACAGACUCCAAGCCGCUUACAUGCGCCCCCACACUGCGUAGGCCUCUUGAGUCUAUUUCGCCUCAGUCUGUUGUAAACUAGCGAGAUGUGUGUUGGCUUGUCUUUUUUUUUGAACGUCGCAGGAGAGCUGCGAGUCAUUUCAUUAAGGAGAGAAAAAACAAGAGUACGACGCAACUGGAAAAAUAGCGUCGUGUACAAGGCGGUUAGGAACUAACGCGCCACAGCGACACACACACACGACCACAUCACUCAUACACGACCACAGCCACCCGAGACCUGGGCUAAUCCCCUGAGAUGAGUCGGCAGGUGAGCAGUUCUCUGAGGCGAGAGGCACCUGCCGCACUCCAAAGAGCACAUUCAGUGGCCACGAUUUGCAGGACAGUUCGAACACAUGGCCUUUUUCCUUCGAGCACGCAGGCAUCUCGAUGCUUCCAAAUUUCCCAGGCGACCAGAAUGAUGAGGGAAUUAACACUUUUUUUCAUCUCUUUCGGGACUGCUUUAGUAGCUGUACACCACCAGCCCACAAAACGGCGACAACCAGGCUGAGGUGCAAGGGCAUUCAGCCCCAAGCUAUUGAGGGUAGAUGUCCAAACCUCACGCGCGAGAACACAACCAAUCAGGACAUGUUGGAUAGUCUCCUCAGCUUGGUCACAAAGGGGGCAGGCAGAUGGAUGAGGCAGCCCCCUUUUGGCAAGCCUAUCAGCCGUCCAACACCGGUUCUUGAUAGCCAACCAAACAAUGAACUUGCAUUUUAAAGGUGCCCAAGACUUCCAAAUACGCCUCCAGGGGCCAAACUUAAUUGUCCCCGUGAAAAAGGCCUCGUAAGCUGAUUUACUGGUGUAGUCCCCAUGAUUUGUUAGCCGCCAUACGUGCUGAUCUGGAACUUCCUGUUGGAGCGCCAAGUUAUCAAAGAGGUUCCAGAGCUGUAAAUACUCCACAAGCACCUGUACUGAUAGGGCGCCUCUUAUAUCAGAAAUCCAACUAUGGUUCUGCAACCCUUGCGCCAUUGUCCUAUGUCUCUUAGCCCUGUUGGGGAUCAACUGAAACAAACUGGGGGCCCAGUACGAAACUGAUUUUCCUUGCAGCCAUCGAUCUGUCCAGAAUUUAGUUGAUUCACCAUUGCCCACCACAGUAACAACAGCAACGUCAAACAGGGCUUGCGCAAGAGGAGGUACUUCGAGGGGGAGGCCAGCCCAAGGGCGGGAGGCAUCCGUCUUCUGCAGCCACAACCAACGAAUACGCAAGGCCCAACCGAACAGCUCCAAGUUAAGUAUACCUAGACCUCCAAACUGCAGAGGACGUUGAACACAAUCCCAGGAAACAAGACAGCUGCCCCCAUUUGCAUUUUCCUGCCCUUUCCACAGGAAACCCCUUCUUCUUUUAUCAAUAGCUUUGAGCACCUAUGAUGCGCGGAUACUUCACAAAACUCACGUACCGGUGUCGGAUACCGUAUCAGAUACGGAUACUUCCCGGAUACUUCCGGAUACGUAUCGGAGACGUAUCGGAUAUUUUUGUAGAUUUAAAUAAAUAAAAAAGCCGGAUACUCCUGGGACACCUUCCCGAUACCUGUGCGAUACGUUCCAACCCUAGGCUUCAUAUACGCACGUACUCCUGUAUCGCAUAGCCGCUGCCCCGAAGCCACCUCUUUGUGCCUCCACUUGCGUGCCGCUAGCCACAGCCGCUCGUCGAUCUGAGCUGCCGCCGCCGCCGUCGUUCGCCGAUUGGAGCCACCGCCGUCACCCAGUCAGUGGCCGAUUGGAGCCGCCUCCGCGAGGCCUGUGGUCGUCAGCCCGUCAGCCGCCGAUUGGAGCCGCCGCUGCGAGGUCUGUAGCCGCUUUCUUCCCUUCUUGCUUCUCAAUCUCCUCCUUUCUCCUCAAUCUGCUCACUGCUACUUGUCUGGUCUUGUUAGAUUCAGGGCAGCGGCUCUGGGUGAAGGCCGCUGCCUGCUACUUUUGCUAGAUUCGGGGCAGCGGCUCUGGAUGAAAUCUAGUUUUGCUAGGUUUGAUGGCUUGAUGGCCUAAACUUUAUCUAGUUUUGUUAGAUUCUGGUCUUGUUAGAUUCGGGGCAGCGGCUCUGGAUGAAAUCUAGUUUUGCUGCACAGCAACAGCCGCUGCCUGCUACUUUUUUGCUGCUCUGGGUGAAGGCUGUAGGCUGCAGCAGCAGUGAUACCGUUGCUGCAAGUAUCACAGCCGAUGGAAGCAGUUUUCUUUAUUUAUUAUGUGAUAUUGUGGUCUAUUAGUGUUAGAACUUGAAGACUGAACACUGAAGUUUCUAGGUUUGAUGGCCUAAACUUUAUCUAUGUACUAUUUGUGAAAUUGUGUGGUCCACUAUUUCAGCAUUUAAUUUUAUUUAUAAUAUUUACGUAUCGCCGUAUCGGUGUUUUUUGAGAAAUGGCGUAUCGGGGUAUCGGCGUAUCGCGUAUCCGUAUCGCCGUAUCAGGGCAACACAGUUGAGCACCCAUUUAGGGAGGUCCAACCGUCCAAGGCUAGCAUAGAGUACACAGGGAUGGAAGACUACCACUCUCACCAUCACAAGGCGACCAGCACGGCUCAUGAGCGAUGCCUUCCAGCCUGGCAGUUUGUUGGAUACUUUAUCAACAAGGGGCUGCAGCGCUGCAUUUGUCAGUUUCCGAAUUGACAGAGGAAGUCCUAGGUAAUUGCAUGGAAACUCCUUUAACUCACAAGGCAACAGCUCAGAGAUAACAGCCAAAUCAUCGUCUCCACACUGGAUAGGUGUGACUGAACUUUUGGUAAUGUUGGUCUUGAGGCCUGUAGAAUGCCCAAAAAUAUCAAGGAGCCGAGUGACCAUAAGGAGGUCAGAUCUUAGUGGCCGGAGGAAUAUGACAACAUCAUCCGCAUAAAAAGAAAUACGAUGUUUAGCCUGCUGAUGAGCAAUGGGCUGUAAGAGAUGCUCCUGAGUUGCAAAAUGAACAAUAGAAUUUAGAACUUCCAUGACCAGUAUAAAUAGCAUGGGUGACAGAGGGUCCCCUUGACGAAGGCCUCGACGGUGAGAGAUGCAGUCCCCAGGUUCACCAUUGAUUAGAAUUCUGGUAGAGGAUGUGGACAGCAGCAAACUGAUCAGAUUACACCACUUGCGACCAAAACCAAGAUGUUGCAGAAGCUCCAACAAGAAAGCCCAGGACACAGAAUCAAAGGCCUUGGAAAUAUCCAGUUUUAAGAGCACAUGAGGCUCCUUAUGAUGUAACGUCCUUGCAAGCUGCUGCACCAUCAAAAAAUUAUCCAGGAUGCUCCUCCCUUUGACAAAAGCACUUUGAUUGAUGGUGACAAGCUUGGGCAGAUGAGGAGCCAGACGGUUAGCAAGGAGUUUAGCCACCAGUUUAGCAAAACUGUGAAUUAGACUAAUAGGCCUGAAAUCCUUGACAUGUAGGGCUUCAGUCUUUUUAGGCACAAGAGUGAUGAAAGCGGAGUUGAUAAGCCUGAAAUUGAAAACAUGGCCCCUCUGCACAGCGAGGAGCGCAGCCAAGACGUCAUCCUUGAUUGAAUUCCAACAGACCUUAUAGAAUCGGCCCGUGAAACCGUCAGGCCCUGGAGCUUUGUCCAAUGGAAUCUCUCUGAUAGUAGCCCAGACCUCUUCCUCAGUAAAUGGCACCUCAAGCUCAGAGAGGUCAUGCUGCUGCACGCCUAAGGAAAGAAAAUCCAGAGUGAAGUCUCUUUGCUCAGCCGAACCGAUCAAAGCAUCAUAAAAAUCGAGGGCUGCUCGAAGUUUGUCUUCCGGAGAUGUGACAACCCGAUCAUUAACAAUAAACUUGGCAAUGAUUUUUUUUUCUUGCGGUAAUGUGCCUGUUGGUGAAAAAAGGAGGUAUUGUCAUCGCCCUCCCGGAGGUAAAGAAUACGGGAACGUAAUCUUGCAACCGUGUGCUCAAGAGAGGCCAGAUCGAGGGAAUGCAUCUUUAAUUUUUUUUUCUAAAACGCUCCUCAUCAGCUGAGAGGGCACGGCUAUCUCUUGCAAUUUCCAAGCGAUGUAAGAUUUCAUUAGCCAUUUCAAGCUGCAGCCUAAUGUUGCCGACUUUGUGUUGACUCCAUUUUUGUAAGCCUUUACUAAGGCGCUGAAGUUUCAGAAAUAUGCGCUCCACCGGGUAGCUAGAAGCAACUGGAGCAUUCCAAUUUUGUGAGACAGCAUCCAUGAAACCAGGAAGUUUGGGCCAGAAACUUUCGAAAUGGAAACGUCGUUUGCCCUGAGUGACAAUAUUCAGACCCAGGACCAGAGGGCAAUGAUCAGAUACUCCAGAAGCUGCACUCUGGAGGAGAGAAUCAGGAAAAAUAUCAUCCCAGUCAGCACAGCAAAAGGCUCUAUCAAGCCGCACAAGGGUGGGGGACGACCUCUCAUUUGACCAGGUAAAUUUGCGACCGUGCAAAUGAAGUUCCUUGACAUUGCUAUCAUCCAGAAACCUCUGAAAUCUUCCCAUCAAUACUCUAUUCAGAUUGGCAUUAUUUUUGUCUGCAGCUUGGUAGAUCAUGUUGAAGUCGCCUGCCAGCAACCAAGGGCCAACACAGAGAGCUCUGACCUCUCUUAGCUCCUGCAAGAAUUGUAGCUUCAGAUCAUCCUCUUGGGGGCCAUAGACACCAGUGAACCACCAAUUCCUACCCUCUUGCUCACAAACUGGACAGAAACCGAAAAUCUGUCCACACGGGAAGAGAUUGCAUGACAGCAGGCCCCUUUCCAAGCAAUGAACACGCCACCUCGAGUACCAUCAGCGGGGAGAGCCACGAACUUGUCAAAAGCAGACCCAAGAGCAGAGAGGAGGAGCUGUGACGACACGCUUGCAAUCUUGGUUUCUUGAAGACACACGAUGUCAGCGCUGGAGGAAAGGACAGUGUUGCGUACAGAGUUUCGCCUGGCCGUCAGAUUGAGGCCCCCCGGGUGUUCCAGACUAGGAUGGAUGACAGAUUCAUGAGGAACACGAGGCACGACCAAAAGGACAAAGGUUCCUCAGAAACCGAUCAGCAGCUCCCUCUCCAGGACGUCCUCAUCAUGAUCUGUCUGCCAACCGAAAAUAGCAGCAAGAGCAGCAAGCUCCACAUCAGACAGAGGCGUCUCGAAUAAUUACUAUAUACAAUGUCGUGCAACAAAACGUUCACCCGUAACGCCACGUCGCCUUCUUAAUAUCAGCCAUCUGAUAUGCAUCACACGGUUGUUCCUACUCUUCCGCUUAUCUCUGCUAGGCUGCCCUCGCUCCUUUUGGAAGCGGCUUCGUCGCUUUUUCACCGACGACGCCAUCCUUUUUCGCCGCCGGCAACAUCUGUGAGACUGUGACCGCGUAAGGUUCCUGCUUCACUUCGCGUCGCUUGCGAUUUCUCUCUCUUCUUCUACUUUCCAGCCUCUCUGGCGAUGCACCACAGAGGACACAGCACGCAUGCGACGAGCUCCAAGCAGCUUGCAUUAUUUGGAGCUUUGUCUGCAAGACGGGAGCCUUCGGCUGCCUUACUCCUCUUCUUCGCCCUGGGCCCGAGCUAGGCCGGCGUGGCUGCACCGCUCCGUCCUCGACAAGCCCGCGUCACCGAGUGCCUCGUCGGAGACAGCACUGGCACUGUCCUCGUCGCCGCCCGCACGAUCAGGAAUGUUGCUUGCGGCUCGCUUUGCUCUCCUCUCUCGUCCCGGCGUGGUCGCACCCGCGCAGCGCCUCCAAUGGCGACGACGACGAAGACAGCAAGUCUCAGCAUGGGGCGAGUCUGAGUGCAUAGGCUACGCCCUAGCAAAGUCACUGCUAAGGCCGAACAUUGUACACCAUGGUGGUUAUCUCUCUCCAAUUCCAUCUACUCAAGAAUGUCUCACUCAUGGAUGAUGCACACCACGUGCUCGAUGAUUUGGCUCUAUAACAAUUUUUGGUGCUAGCCUCAGAUUAUUUCUGUUUGAGAGUUAUGUAAGGUACUACUAACUCUGCAUUUUUUAGUUAUGGUUUCGAAACAUGUAUUUUCAAACCAUGACUAAUCAAGUAUAUUCUCCACCAUUAAUUCCUCUAGGCAUGACCUGGAAAACUGCUUAGCUGAUGCUGUAACAUUUUGAUGUCUCUGUUCUCUGCUUUCUGGAGGUGCCAUCCCCUCUCUUUGGGGAGGCUUCUGGUUAAACUUGCUUCAGUCACGAUGUUACUGUGCUGGAUAAAGAAGAUGCCAAAGCUGAACUUUGAGGUUGCUAAACCAUGCACCCAGAAUCGGAGUUUUGUAGUUGAAGCUCCAUGUGGUAGGAAUGUGCUCACAAAGCAAAUCAAAUCUCUUUUCCAAUAACAGGGCCGUUAGUAUCCUUUUCCCUUUUAUUUUGACCAGAAUCUCCAUAUCUUUUAUCUGCAGAGUUGAGAUACUUGCAACUAUACACAAUAGAAUGUUCUUCGAACCUCAAGCUGCAGCUCUUGCUCCAACUAUUACUUGCCUACUUUGUUUUUCCUAUCAGUAAUGCUUGCUGACUCAUUGAAACAAACCAGUCUUUCCUUUGUUUGGUUUUACAUUUUGAGAGCUUUUCUUAAAAACAACCGGAGGCUGGAUUGGUUAUGUGCAAAACUAUUAUAGAGGCCGGAAUAAAAUUUCUAUUUUCUAAGAAAAUAGAAAUAAACCAAAUACGAGUCCGAGUCCGACUAUGUGCAAUGUACAAGAAUAUCUUAAAAUAAGGGAGAUACUAUCCUACAGGUGUUUGGUUUUCAUUUUUUCAUGUUUAUUAUCUAUAUGAUCAUGACUCAUAUGGCUCAGGUCAUGUUAUCUAUUGUAGCGUCUUCUUGUCUCCCUCGACAUUGCCCGUCUGCUUCCUUGCGCCUUGCUUGUGCUGUGGGCUCCCUUGUCUCGCCUCUUUUCCAGCCGUGGCCAAUUGUGUCCAUUGCUGGGUUUGCCACCACCUUCCCGUGUCAAGGCAAACCCCUCCAUUUCGAGCACGUUCCAAACCCAAACUUCACAUUGCCUUCUUUUGAGAGCUACGUAAGGACCCGGGGAGCACGGCUUUCCACCGGCGACACUUCUGCUGCGCCGCGGGGCAGAGGCAGGCACAGCCACUCUCUUUCUCCUCCUCCUAGGAGAAACGGGGAGAGGCAUUGUCUUGAAACUGUUUCAGCCAUGUUUACUAGGCCCUGACAAACAAAUGUUCCAAAUAAGAAAUACUUGAAUGUGUUCUGAUGAAAUGUGCUGUUUUUGAUUUGUCAAUAAUGCAUCAAGCCAAUAUUUUCCUGCCAUGUUUUCUGAUGCCCGCUACAUGUUCAGUGUGUUUACUGUACCCUUUUCUUUCUUUUCUUUUGUUUGCAUAUAAUGUUUGCCGACUUCAGUUUAC